UUGUAGUGGCGCCUGUCCAACCAAAAAUAUCGGAUAACCGUCCCACGGUUUCCCCUUCCCUUAGACAUGCACCUUGCACCUUUUGGGCAGUUACGCGCAAGAAAAAAAUGACAUAAGUUAACAGCGGCUACUGUCAAGGUGUGGUGAGAAAAGAGGAAUGAGAGAACCAAGGGCUCAAGCGGAAGGAGAGUGGCUUGGGGAUGUUCUUUCCAAUUUUACUCGCGAUCCCAGACGGACGUCGGAGGAAAAUACUCAAGUAGUGCAGUGAAAAGAAAAAUUCUAACCUCGACCGUAAUUACCGCGUGUCCAUCGUGGCUAAGAUCUAGUCAAAAGAUCAGCCGACCAUUCCUACGUUUAUUAAGCGAAGGCCGAACCCAUCGGGUUUGGCCGUACGUAAUACCGUACGAAACGCCGGUCGUAGUGCCGUAAGCCAUAUCCACUACAGUCUCGUCACCUUACCCAGCGUCCCGAUCGACUACAGUAUGUGUUAGCCGUCUUCGCCCCCAAAUCUUCUUUCGGCACACACAUACAAGCCUUGCUCGGCCUACAUCAGUGAAAAACGGUCGAUUGGCUUUUAUCUACGCGUGCAGUGACAUACAUAUGUACAUAUGUGUGAAAUUGACUAUUCCCUCUUCAGUGACUUCCAUCAUUGCUACGUCGCUUACGCCGCCCGCAAACGAACAGUAACGCUAAAGGAGAAGACAUUUACCGGUGCCGAAAUACUGUUUGCGUUGCUGAUGAAGUCAUUCGGUGUCUCGAUCAUGAUGGCUAUGCCCAUGCAUUUCUUCAUAUUAGAAUAAUACUUUGGAACCCCACUAUUGUACUGACCCUAGGAUUAACAUUAAAAGUUAAAUUCGUGUGAUUCGGUUUGUUUGGCUUAUCAUAAAGAAAUUUGCAGCUAGAAGGAAAGGAACUAAAACUAAUACACGCGCGUAUCGCCUAUCUACUCUGACACACUGAUAUUUACAAGUUUUCAGCCACCCUCAUCGACCACAUGGAAGCGCUUUCAUCGUUGGAUUUGAUCGUAAUCCGUACUGUAACGCUGACCAAUCCAAUUGUUCACGUCUUUGUUUUGUUCUGCUCUUUCGCAAGCAAUGUAACUUUCUGCAAUUCCGAAUCUAUCGACAACCGAACUUAUGAUUGGGAUUACCCCACAAGCAAUUGCUGUGCACUUUAAAGAUGCACUUUAAAGAUGCACCCAUCCGUCCCUUGUUUUUGCAUUUAAACUGAAAACCAUUCGAAUAUAUUUCUAUUUGUGUAACGUAAUUACCAUUAUUCCUGAAUAUACUCUUUAUAAUUAGUUGACUCUAGUCUAAUAAGAUCUUUCAUCAUGAUAUUU